UCUGUGAACAUGAUAAAAGAAUCGACUAAUUAAAUCAUGUAACAGACACAGAAAUGGUGGUGGAGGAACGAGUCAGGUUGAGAAAAGAACGAAACAUUCUUAUGAAGAAAAUUGUCACAAUUUCAACCUGGUAAACAUAUGCUGGCACUUGAAGCAAUAUUUUUGGCGCGUCACCAAGCGGUUGGUUGAUAGUUUACUAUAACUUUGGACAUUGGGUAACAACGAGGGACGAAAAUAAUCUUCUAACGAGAUUCAUCGAAGAAUAUAGAAACGAAGGAAACUUAAAUAAUAUGAAAUAAACUUAUUAAUAACGGGCAUUUGACUACAUUUUUUUAUAAAAUCUGAAGCUGUCCCUGUUGUUUCGUUUCCGAAUUUGUACACAAAAACUAUUACAGAUUCGUUCUUUUUCUUAAUUUUUUUUGCUUAUUUUUCAUUGUAUUUUCUGUCACGUAUUUUUGUUGGAAUUUUAAAAAAUUGUGUAAGAAAUAGGAAAUCAACAAAAAUGGAAAAAAGAAACAAAUAUCUAUAUAAGGAAACAAAGCGUGAAAAAAAGAGGAAA